rnacentral:rRNA from 1 species
AUGGGCGCAGCCUGAUCCAGCCAUACCGCGUGGGUGAAGAAGGCCUUCGGGUUGUAAAGCCCUUUUGUUGGGAAAGAAAUCCAGCCGGCUAAUACCUGGUUGGGAUGACGGUACCCAAAGAAUAAGCACCGGCUAACUUCGUGCCAGCAGCCGCGGUAAUACGA